AUUGAACGCUGGCGGCAGGCCUAACACAUGCAAGUCGAGCGGAGCGGCGGACGGGUGAGUAAUGCCUAGGAAUCUGCCCGGUAGUGGGGGAUAACGUCCGGAAACGGGCGCUAAUACCGCAUACUAUCAGAUGAGCCUAGGUCGGAUUAGCUAGUUGGUGGGGUAAAGGCCUACCAAGGCGACGAUCCGUCACUGUUCUGAGAGGAUGAUCAGUCACACUGGAACUGAGACACGGUCCAGACGCCUACGGAAGGCAGCAGUAGGGAAUAUUGGGCAAUGGGCGAAAGCCUGAUCCAGCCAUGCCGCGUGUGUGAAGAAGGUUUUCGGAUUGUAAAGCACUUUAAGUUGGGAGGCGUUACCAAAAGAAAAAGCACCGGCUAACUUCGUGCCAACAGCCGCGGUAAUAC
rnacentral:rRNA from 1 species